UACGGAGGGGGCUAGCGUUGUUCGGAAUUACUGGGCGUGAAGCGCACGUAGGCGGAUCAGAAAGUCAGAGGUGAAAUCCCAGGGCUCAACCUUGGAACUGCCUUUGAAACUCCUGGUCUUGAGGUCGAGAGAGGUGAGUGGAAUUCCGAGUGUAGAGGUGAAAUUCGUAGAUAUUCGGAGGAACACCAGUGGCGAAGGCGGCUCACUGGCUCGAUACUGACGCUGAGGUGCGAAAGCGUUGGGAGCAAACAGG
rnacentral:rRNA from 1 species